CAGACAGAAGACUGUAAACUCAGAGGAGAAAUAUGACAUCAGAUCCCUCAUUUCCUAUAUUUUCUCCAGUUUCAGUAGUUGACUCUUUCCAUGGGAUUCAUUUCUCUCUGCUCACCCCCAACAUUAUCUUGUUAGCAACAUCACUGCAGGCUGGCGAACAAUUCCCAGUGCUGCAAAAAUGAUCCAAAACACAUCAUCUCCCGGAAGGCUAAUUAUAAAAAACAUUGCAUGUUUUGAUAAUGGCUUCUGCUACUCAGAAAGUAGAAAGUGAAAUCUUGAAUUGAGAUACUGAACAUAUGUAUAAAGGUGCAUUUCCCCCCCUCAAAUAUGCUGAACCUUAUGCCACAGAGUGAACAUGAGGAGAACUAACUACCAUGGGGGUUGAUUUGGUAUUGAGUAUGGGGUACUAAACAAAUAAAAUGCAAAUAAAUAGUGGUUGAAUUGCUUCCUUGGAGAAAAGAGUUCCAGUUCCCUUGAAAAAGCUCCCAGGAUCCUUUCAAAAAUUGUUCAUAAAUUCUAAUUUUUAAUGUGAUUUUAUUAAAUGCAAAUGUGGUGAUCAUAGUAAUAGUCUUCACAGUUAAUGCUCUGUAAUGUAAAUUCCUUAAGAAUUAAAAAUAAAUCAAACUUA